GACGAACGCUGGCGGCGUGCUUAACACAUGCAAGUCGAACGGAAAGGCCCUGCUUUUGUGGGGUGCUCGAGUGGCGAACGGGUGAGUAACACGUGAGUAACCUGCCCUUUACUUUGGGAUAACUUCAGGAAACUGGGGCUAAUACCGGAUAGGAGCUCCUGCUGCAUGGUGGGGGUUGGAAAGUUUCGGCGGUUGGGGAUGGACUCGCGGCUUAUCAGCUUGUUGGUGGGAUAGUGGCUUACCAAGGCUUUGACGGGUAGCCGGCCUGAGAGGGUGACCGGCCACAUUGGGACUGAGAUACGGCCCAGACUCCUACGGGAGGCAGCAGUGGGGAAUAUUGCACAAUGGGCGGAAGCCGGAUGCAGCAACGCCGCGUGCGGGAUGACGGCCUUCGGGUUGUAAACCGCUUUCGCCUGUGACGAAGCGUGAGGGACGGUAAUGGGUAAAGAAGCACCGGCUAACUACGU
rnacentral:rRNA from 1 species